rnacentral:rRNA from 1 species
AUAUGAUCACCGGCCGCAUGGUCUGGUGGUGGAAAGCUCCGGCGGUGCAGGAUGAGCCCGCGGCCUAUCAGCUUGUUGGUGGGGUGAUGGCCUACCAAGGCGACGACGGGUAGCCGGCCUGAGAGGGCGACCGGCCACACUGGGACUGAGACACGGCCCAGACUCCUACGGGAGGCAGCAGUGGGGAAUAUUGCACAAUGGGCGAAAGCCAGAUGCAGCGACGCCGCGUGAGGGAUGACGGCCUUCGGGUUGUAAACCUCUUUCAGCAGGGAAGAAGCGAAAGUGACGGUACCUGCAGAAGAAGCACCGGCUAACUACGUGCCAGCAGCCGCGGUAAUACGUAGGGUGCGAGCGUUGUCCGGAAUUAUUGGGCGUAAAGAGCUCGUAGGCGGCUUGUCACGUCGGAUGUGAAAGCCCGGGGCUUAACCCCGGGUCUGCAUUCGAUACGGGCAGGCUAGAGUUCGGUAGGGGAGAUCGGAAUUCCUGGUGUAGCGGUGAAAUGCGCAGAUAUCAGGAGGAACACCGGUGGCGAAGGCGGAUCUCUGGGCCGAUACUGACGCUGAGGAGCGAAAGCGUGGGGAGCGAACAGGAUUAGAUACCCUGGUAGUCCACGCCGUAAACGUUGGGCACUAGGUGUGGGCGACAUUCCACGUUGUCCGUGCCCAGCUAACGCAUUAGUGCCCCGCCUGGGGAGACGGCCGCAAGGUUAACUCAAGGAAUUGCGGGGGGCCGCCAAGCGCAGAGCUGUGGCUUAUUCGACGCACGCCAAGAACUUACCAGGCUUGAAUACACCGGAACAUCUGGGACAGUGCCCCUUGUGUCCGUGUACGGUGGUGCAGGCUGUCUCAGUCUUGCCGGGGAGGUCGGUUAAGUCCGCAUGAGCGAACCUUAUCUGUGUUGCAGCUGGCCUUUAGGGACGGGACUCCGGGAGAUGCCGGGCCACUCGAAGAAGGUGGGAGACUCAAGUACAUGCCCUUAGCUUGGGUUCCCCGU